GUAAACACCCGGUGGCUGACAAACUCGUAGAGGCUCGCCUUUCCGUGAAUUUCUCACCCAACUUUACGCCAAGAAAACUCCCUCCUACAUGGUUCUGCUGCUGCUGCUGCUAAGUCGCUUCAGUCGUCUCCGACUCUGUGGGACCCCAUAGACAGCAGCCCACCAGGCUCCCCCGUCCCUGGGAUUCUCCAGGCAAGAACACCGGAGUGGGUUGCCAUUUCCUUCUCCAAUGCGUGAAAGUGAAAGUGAAGUCGCUCAGUCGUGUCCAACUCUUCGAGACCCCAU
ensembl:lncRNA